rnacentral:rRNA from 1 species
UAUACUGUGAAACUGCGAAUGGCUCAUUAAAUCAGUUAUCGUUUAUUUGAUAGUACCUUACUACUUGGAUAACCGUGGUAAUUCUAGAGCUAAUACAUGCUAAAAACCCCGACUUCGGAAGGGGUGUAUUUAUUAGAUAAAAAACCAAUGCCCUUCGGGGCUCCUUGGUGAAUCAUGAUAACUUAACGAAUCGCAUGGCCUUGCGCCGGCGAUGGUUCAUUCAAAUUUCUGCCCUAUCAACUUUCGAUUGUAGGAUAGUGGCCUACAAUGGUUUCAACGGGUAACGGGGAAUUAGGGUUCUAUUCCGGAGAGGGAGCCUGAGAAACGGCUACCACAUCCAAGGAAGGCAGCAGGCGCGCAAAUUACCCAAUCCCGAUACGGGGAGGUAGUGACAAUAAAUACUGAUACAGGGCUCUUUUGGGUCUUGUAAUUGGAAUGAGUACAAUUUAAAUACCUUAACGAGGAACAAUUGGAGGGCAAGUCUGGUGCCAGCAGCCGCGGUAAUUCCAGCUCCAAUAGCGUAUAUUAAAGUUGUUGCAGUUAAAAAGCUCGUAGUUGAACCUUGGGCCUGGCUGGCCGGUCUGCCUCACCGCAUGUACUGGUUCGGCCGGGUCUUUCCUCCUGGGGAUCCGCAUGCCCUUCACUGGGUGUGUUGGGGAACCAGGACUUUUACUUUGAAAAAAUUAGAGUGUUCAAAGCAGGCCUUUGCUCGAAUACAUUAGCAUGGAAUAAUAGAAUAGGACGUGCGGUCCUAUUUUGUUGGUUUCUAGGACCGCCGUAAUGAUUAAUAGGGAUAGUCGGGGGCAUCAGUAUUCAGUUGUCAGAGGUGAAAAUUCUUGGAUUUACUGAAAGACUAACUACUGCGAAAAGCAUUUGCCAAGGAUGUUUUUCAUUUAAUCAGUGAACGAAAAGUUAGGGGGAUCGAAAGACGAUCAGAUACCGGUCGUAGUCUUAACCGUAAAACUAUGCCCGACUAGGGGAUCGGGGCGAUGUUAAUUUCUUUUGACUCGCUCGGGCCACCUUACGAGAAAUCAAAGUCUUUUGG